CGCUCUCCAUAUAAAUCUUCUUCCCCCACUUUUCCUUCUCCUUGUAGAUCAAGUAAGCGAGGCCCGUCUGAUCGUCUGACUCCGGGAACGCCUUGUCUUUGAACGUUGACCGGAGGGUUUCUCCCCAUUUCUCGUAGUCCGGGGUCUGUGGGCCCAUGCUGGCCCACACCUCGAGGAAAUCCAUGGUCCACUGGCAGUUCCUGAUCAAGAGCACGCCGGCGUUGAGCCCCGUCCAACUGUGCGUCUCCAUGACCAGGUGGGCCCAGCCGUGGACGACGAGGUUGUGGUUCUUGUACCGGUCCAACGGGAGCUUGAACUCCAUGUCGGUGAACAACGCGUCCGAGUCGACCCACCAGAUCCACUCGACCUCCGGGUGGGCC
rnacentral:lncRNA from 1 species